rnacentral:rRNA from 1 species
CCUGGCGGCCUUAGCGCGGUGGUCCCACCUGACCCCAUGCCGAACUCAGAAGUGAAACGCCGUAGCGCCGAUGGUAGUGUGGGGUCUCCCCAUGCGAGAGUAG